GAUGAACGCUAGCGGCAGGCCUAAUACAUGCAAGCUGAACGGUAAAUGUUGUAGCAAUACGAUAUGAGAGUAGCGUAAGGGUGCGUAACACGUAUGCAAUCUGCCCGCAACAGGAGGAUAGCUCCCCGAAAGGGGAAUUAAUACUCCAUAAGAUCACGAAAGGGCAUCUGAUUGUGAUUAAACUCCAAGGGGUUGCGGAUGAGCAUGCGUCUGAUUAGCUAGUUGGUGAGGUAACGGCUCACCAAGGCGAUGAUCAGUAGGGGAACUGAGAGGUUGAUCCCCCACACUGGCACUGAGAUACGGGCCAGACUCCUACGGGAGGCAGCAGUAGGGAAUAUUGGUCAAUGGGUGAGAGCCUGAACCAGCCAUGCCGCGUGCAGGAAGACGGCCUUCUGGGUUGUAAACUGCUUUUGUCAGGGGAUAAAAUACCCGUGCGCGGGGAAUUGAAGGUACCUGAUGAAUAAGCCACGGCUAACUACGUGCCAGCAGCCGCCGCUGUAA
rnacentral:rRNA from 1 species